rnacentral:rRNA from 1 species
CGAACGCUGGCGGCGUGCUUAACACAUGCAAGUCGAACGCGAAAGAUUUUCUUCGGAGGAUCGAGUAGAGUGGCGCACGGGUGAGUAACGCGUAAGUAAUCUACCCUGGUAUCAGGGAUAACUAACCGAAAGGUUAGCUAAUACCGGAUACGCUGAUUUAUCAGGAAAGGUGGCCUCUUCAUGAAAGCUACUGUACCAGGAGGAGCUUGCGUACCAUUAGCUAGUUGGUAGGGUAAUGGCCUACCAAGGCGACGAUGGUUAGCGGGUCUGAGAGGAUGAUCCGCCACACUGGAACUGGAACACGGACCAGACUCCUACGGGAGGCAGCAGUGAGGAAUAUUGCGCAAUGGGGGCAACCCUGACGCAGCGACGCCGCGUGGAUGAUGAAGGCCUUCGGGUCGUAAAAUCCUGUCAGAUGGAAAGAAGUGUAUUAUGCUUAAUAUGUAUAAUAUUUGACGGUACCAUCAAAGGAAGCACCGGCUAACUCC